AGUAUUUUUACAAAUCCAGCUUGAAUACAAAUCCAAGCAAACUUUUCAGUGGUAGUUUGGAUUCUCAUUUCUCUCAGGACUGCCAAAUGGUUGUCUGUUUAAAGAGUGAACCAGUUACAAAUGGAAAAAGAUAAACAGAACAUUAGCCUGAAAAAUAUAUUUCAUAAUAGGCAGUGUCCAAGCACCUGGUUUAACAAAUCUGUAUUUCAGAUAAUCUUCUAGCAUGUAUUUCAAGCUCAAAUUUGUGAUGAUUCAUUGAACUGCAGGAUAACUUGAUGACUAGUUGCAUGAUUUCUUGGCGAGUUGAAUGAUUUUACAGUAAGUUAAAACAGGGAUUGCAUCAUGCACAGUA
rnacentral:lncRNA from 1 species